rnacentral:tRNA from 1 species
GUCAUUGUAAUAUAGUGGUGAGUAUUCACGCCUACCACACGGGUAACCUGGGUUCAAUCCCCGACAACGAUG